CUCAUCGCUGUCCUGGGACUGCUCCAAGUGCAAUUCAAAGAUGUUUGUUACAAAUGAAGAUCCUCUCCUCAGAGAUCCUCAUUCCCUGCAUUUGAGAUGGGCCCUGGGAACCUUCAUUAUUAACUCCUGAAUUUCACUUGGACCAACACGGUGAUGGUGACAAGCCCAGAUGGAAAGGCAGCUCAACAUCUGAGAAGCCAGUCUUACUCCCUGCAGGCAACAGCUGCUUCCAGAAAACAGCCCUAUUACUUCACCAAAGUACAGUUCCUACAGGAAGAUAAUGAUCUGACCUAACCUACUAUUGGCUGAAGGAAGGAGAAAAGCAGCUGAAGAUGUCUGUUGAGUGAUUACCCUCAUAAUCCGUGACUAAGAACAUCCAAAUCAGCAUGGCUUCUUCCUGUCUGAAAUUAUUACUACUUAGGGUUUUUCACGUGUUAUUUCAUUUAUUGAUUAUUCUGUUUUAAACUUGCAAGACGUAUUGUCUCUUCAGAAAUAAAAC
rnacentral:lncRNA from 1 species